UGCGGGGUGGAGCAGCCAGGUAGCUCGUCGGGCUCAUAACCCGAAGGUCACAGGUUCGAAUCCUGUCCCCGCUA
rnacentral:tRNA from 6 species